rnacentral:rRNA from 1 species
ACGUGGUUAAUUCGAUGCAACCGAAGAACCUUACCUGGGUUUGACAUGUGCGUGUUACUGAGGUGAAAGCCGAGGGACCAUAUCUUCGGAUGUGGAGCGUACACAGGUGCUGCAUGGCUGUCGUCAGCUCGUGUCGUGAGAUGUUGGGUUAAGUCCCGCAACGAGUGCAACCCCUGCAUUCAGUUGCCAACGGUAAGGCCGGGCACUCUGGAUGGACUGCCGGCGACAAGCCGGAGGAAGGUGGGAUGACGUCAAGUCAUCAUGGCCCUUAUGUCCAGGGCGACACACGUGCUACAAUGGCCGGCACAGCGGGAAGCGAGGGGGCGACCUUGAGCGGAUCCCUCAAAGCCGGUCUCAGUUCGGAUUGCAGUCUGCAACUCGACUGCAUGAAGUUGGAAUCGCUAGUAAUCGUGGAUCAGCCAAGCCGCGGUGAAUACGUUCCCGGGCCUU